rnacentral:tRNA from 1 species
GCUGGAUUAGCUCAGUUGGUAGAGCGCGCCACUCGUAAUGGCGAGGUCGUAAGUUCGAACCUUACAUUCAGCACCA